GAUGAACGCUGGCGGCGUGCCUAAUACAUGCAAGUCGAGCGAACGGACGAGAAGCUUGCUUCUCUGAUGUUAGCGGCGGACGGGUGAGUAACACGUGGAUAACCUACCUAUAAGACUGGGAUAACUUCGGGAAACCGGAGCUAAUACCGGAUAAUAUUUUGAACCGCAUGGUUCAAAAGUGAAAGACGGUCUUGCUGUCACUUAUAGAUGGAUCCGCGCUGCAUUAGCUAGUUGGUAAGGUAACGGCUUACCAAGGCAACGAUGCAUAGCCGACCUGAGAGGGUGAACGGCCACACUGGAACUGAGACACAGUCCAGACUCCUACGGGAGGCAGCAGUAGGGAAUCUUCCGCAAUGGGCGAAAGCCUGACGGAGCAACGCCGCGUGAGUGAUGAAGGUCUUCGGAUCGUAAAACUCUGUUAUUAGGGAAGAACAUAUGUGUAAGUAACUGGGCACAUCUUGACGGUACAUAAUCAGAAAGCUACGGCUAACUACGUG
rnacentral:rRNA from 1 species